rnacentral:rRNA from 1 species
UACGUAGGGGGCAAGCGUUGUCCGGAAUUAUUGGGCGUAAAGAGCGUGUAGGCGGUCCGGUAAGUCAGCUGUGAAAGUCAAGGGCUCAACCCUUGAAUGCCGGUUGAUACUGUCGGGCUAGAGUCCGGAAGAGGCGAGUGGAAUUCCCGGUGUAGCGGUGAAAUGCGCAGAUAUCGGGAGGAACACCAAUGGCGAAGGCAGCUCGCUGGGACGGUACUGACGCCGAGACGCGAAAGCGUGGGGGAGCAAACAGG